rnacentral:tRNA from 1 species
GCUCGUAUAGCUCAGAGGAAGAGCGCCCGCUUGUCGAGCGGAGGGGCGAGGGUUCGAGUCCCUCUACGAGCG